rnacentral:lncRNA from 1 species
CCAAAAACUCAAUUCGUCCAUUUUUACCCCACGUUAUCAUACACCCUCGCUCAUGUGAUAACACCCCACAAAAAUAUAAAAAUAAUCAAAUCCAUAACAAAUUUAAUCUUAUCCUAACUAAAUUUUUAUACCUCACCACUAACCUACCCACCUCCCUAAUCCCAUACCCGCAUACCCCACCCUUGGCUCAUUUCUUUUUACCCACUACACAAAAUAAAUACAUACGACAACAUCCAUCAGAUUGAGAGACAAUACCAGGGGGCCACAGUGAAGAAAGGGGAAAUAUAGAGAGAGAAGGACGACCAUGGUCUUCUUUCUUCUUUUCUAAGAAAGCUCCAAAAUGCCAUAAAUACACAUACACAUAUUGACACACGCAUAACUCAUCUGAAACACACACACAAAGCGUGAGAUACACACUCAUCUGGUCGAGAGGGAGAGAUUGGGCAAUUGAGAGAUAGUGAGAGAAGAGAAAAGACGUGAGGCAGAGAGAUAGAGAAAAUGAAAGAGAAGGAAUACGAUAGAAAAGGUUGGCUGUUCUUUGGAUUUUUGGCAAAAUUUCUCGACAUAAUCGGCGUUUCCUUAUCAAAUCCGACCACCUGCAGACCCAAAAAUCCCUGAAUCCUCUUCGUCUCUUGUUCUCUGGCAAAAUAUCACUAAGAAUAUCAUCUUUGCUGACUGCCAGGAUUUACCAGUGCUCCGGCGAGUUCGAAUCUCAUCAGAAAUAGCAAAACCGAAGUCCAAAUAAUUAAACCCACAAUCGAGUCUGAGUGGAGUGGAGUUCGGGAUCAAAGUUAUUGAUUUGGGUUCGUGUUGAGGUUUUUGAUUUGAGUUUUCGAUGUGGACUCCAUCUCAUUCGAAUAAUAUUUGAGUUCGAAAGCGAUAUUAAGGUCCAUUUCUCAUCCCUUUCUUGAGUAAUUUUAAUUUUGAUAUUAAGGUCCAUUUCUCAUCCCUUUCUUGAGUAAUUUUAAUUUUGAUAUUAAGGUCCAUUUCUCAUCCCUUUCUUGAGUAAUUUUAAUUUUGAUAUUAAGGUCCAUUUCUCAUCCCUUUCUUGAGUAAUUUUAAUUUUGAUAUCUUGUUGGGUGAAUUGAUAAUGUGUGGAUCUUGCUUUGGUUGGUUUUGUGAUGUUUGAAUCAUGAAUUUUGGUUGCUGUUAGUUUUGAAUUAUGAAAGUUGAAUUAAUAGUCUAAGGAUUGGUUAAUCAAUGAUUGAGGAUUAAAGUCGGCUAUUGGGGGCAGAAAUUAAAAAUUGAUAGAAAGCAAGCAUUAGUUAUUUUAAUUCAUUGGGAUCGUUGAGUGUGAUAAUGGCAUGACAGAUCGAGCUGGGUAGGCAAAUUUAGGAAUGAUGUUUGAUUGAAUGCGUGGAAUACUGAAUGUGUUGAAUGCUUUUCUAGUUUAUCUCAUGAAAUUGAAAUUGUAUUCAUUUGCCGAGGAAUGCCCCAUAGAAAUUGUAUUUAUUCAUCGGAGAAUGCCCCGAGGUAUCUGUAUUGCUUUAUCCGGGGAAUGCUCCGAGAAAGUUGUACUUUAAAAUGGCGCACGGUCAAGGCCCUGAACAUCAGAUAGAUUAAAGCACGGGAGCAUAAUUACGAUUAGUGUAGGUUAGAAUAGGAUUUAUUUUUUUCGCAUGUUUUAUUUUGGACUGUAUAAUUGGACUGAAAAAUUAUAUUUUGGGAUUUGUUUGUUUGGAUUUGUUCGUUAUUUAAUUGUUGUGUGUUUUAUGUGGUUUAUGCAUUCAUAGUGCCAAAAUAGCCGAUACAAUCCACCAAGCGGCCGUGAUUAAACCACGGGAUUGAGGGGUGCCUAACACCUUCCCUUCGGUCAACAGAAUUCCUUAGCCGGAAUCUCUGUUCGCGGAUCAGUUUAGAAGAGUCAAAAAUAGUUUUGAAAAAAGGACUUUUCAAGGUGACUUGGCACACCUGAUUAUGCCAAGUGGCGACUCUGAGUUUUGAAUAUAAAAGUCCUUUUCGAAAUAAAUUUUCAUUUUGUCACUUUAAUAAUAAAAUCCUUUUGAAACUUAAAACACAUGAAUCUUUUUGGUUGUAAAAGGGGUAUGACAGCUAGGAUAUUCAUUACUAAUAUUCCCCUAAUGAGUUUUGUAGUUUACAAGAUUUUUUAUAAUUUAUUUUCAAAUAGUAUCAACGAUGAAUUUUUAUUACUUACUACAAAAAUUAUCUAUCGCUAACCUUUGUUUUUUCUUCUUGAAAUGAUGAUAACUAGGGAAUGUAAAUUAAGCCAAGUUAAUAAAUGGACCAAUUAAGUUAUGUGGGACUAAAAUUUAGGUCAUAAGACUCAUAACUCCAUCCAUCAAUUUGAACUAAUAUUAACGACUAUAUAUAAUAUAUUAAAAAUAUAUUUAAAAAAUUAAAAAGAAAUGAAGAUUUCUCAUGGAUCAAUUUAUAUAUUAGCGUAAUUUCAAAAAAUAUUAAAUUAAAUGAAUCAAAAUAAAUUAAAUUGAUAAUAAACAGAUUAUUAAAUCAUACAAACCUAAAUAAAUUAACCAAGUUAAUUUUAUGAUAAUUUUUACCACCCAAAAUAAACAUCUCUCUAUACUUGUGUAUUUUGUUAUAGACAUAUAAGAUCAUUAUGCAUAAGGCUUAUCUGAGCAUAAUGUGUUGCUAUCUUGAGAAUAUAUAAUGUUAACUGUUACAUUAUUUUCAACACAUAAACAUGAGCAUGGUAAAACUUAUAUUCACCCGGUGUAUACACCAACCCAAUACAUGCAUGCCAUGUGUUUGAAUUUAAAGUUCAUGUUACUUGGGGGUUUGGGCCACAGGUGACAAGAGUUUUAAAAUGAGGUGUAGGUGACACAAGUUUUAAUUAUUAGUUGGAGGUGACAAUUACUUUAUUAUGUAUUAAGAAAGUUGGAAAAGUUUGAAAAUAACCCACAAGUUUUUAAAUUUACACUUUGAUCCCAAUGUAUACCUAAAAUAACGAAAAAACAGAGGAAAAAAAAGACGCCUUUCUCUCUUCUCAUCCAUUGUUGUUUUCUCUCUCUUAGCGAUUUUUGUUGUUAAUUGUUUCUGUUUCUGUUGCUUUAUUCAUCAUCUUCUGCUUCAUUAUCAUCAUCUUCUACUUCAUUAUCAUCUUCAUCUUCUUCUUGUCGACCAUUUGUUGUUGUUGUUGUUGUUGUUGUUGGUACAACGUUACUGCUGCGAUCUGACCAAUUUCUUAGGUCAAAUUUUAUUUACUACAUCACUUUCCACUUUGGCAUUACUUAAUAGGUGACUUUGGUAAGUAAAAUUAUGAUUUUUAUUUGUAUUUAUCAUCUGGGUACACUUUUAUUUUUCCAAUAAUGGAUAGAACCCCGAUUAUGAAUCCAACAUAAGUACCCACAAUUUAGAACAAUCAUCUGUUGCAUCAGAUGAGUAAUCUAUUGCAUCAGAAGAUUUAUCCGUUGCAUCAGACUGUUUAUCUGUUGCAUCAUCGUAUUAUCCGUUGCAUCAGACUGUUUAUCUGUUGCAUCAUCGUAUUAUCCGUUGCAUCAGACUGUUUAUCUGUUGCAUCAUCGUAUUAUCUGUUGCAUCAGACGUAUUAUCUGUUGUAUCAGGAUGUUUAUCUGUUGCACCAGACUAAUUAUCUAUUGCAUCAGAAUGUUUAUCUAGUGCACCAGAUUAAUUAUCUGUUGCAACAAAUGAUUAAUCUGUUUGAAACAACACAAAUCAACCUCUGCCACAAACCCAACAGAUAAAUCUUGCUAUUGCUACUGGAUUCUAAAUUAUUCUUUUUUACGUCGAAUCGUCGACAUAUUUGUUGAGAAGAUAAUAGACAGAAUGAAAAUUAAAUAUGGAUUAAAACAUUAAAGAUCAAACAUAAUUUAUUUAUUAAGCAAAUAAAAAUGGAUAUAAUAGACUAAAAGAAAAAUAAUAGUCUAAUUAUUUAUUUAUUAAGCAAAUAAAAAUACAUAUAAUAGCCCUCCUCAGCCUGCGUAUCUCGCGGAGCAUUCUUGAUCUAACUCCUCCUAGUUCCCAUUUCUGAUCACGAACUUGAUUCUGAAGUUCAUUCACGGCGUCUUGCAGAAAAGCAAAGUUCCACACUGGGUCAGCCAUAAUCUUAUCUUCUAGUGUGUAAUAUGAAAGAUGAGAUGCAAUAAAUAAAUAGUGUAUUUGAAUGAACGAUUAAAAGGCGCGACAAUUCACCUCCAUACAUUAAUUACAUUUUUGAUUAAAUUAGGAAAAUAAAUAUUGUGAUAUAAGUCAUGACUUUUCAGAUUAUUAUUAUUAAUUAGUUCUUUCGAAGAACCAUUUUUAUUGAGUUGUGGCAAAAGAUUCUAUAUCUGUUGCAUCAGAUAACACAUCUGUGACAACAGAUAUAUUAUCUGUUGCAACAAAUAUAAAAUAUGUUGCAUCAGAUAACAUAUCUGGUGCAACAUAUAAUCUAACUGUUCACCUCCAUUUAUUGAUUACAUUUUUAAUUAAUUUGACAAGUAAUGAAUUAAUUAAACUAAGAAAUAUUAUGAUAAGUCAUGACUUUUCAGAUUAUUAUUAUUAAUUAGUUCUUUCCAAGAACUGCUUUUAUUGAGUUGUGACUCGAUAUAGGUUGCAUCAGAUAAAUCAUCUGUGACAACAGAUAUAUCAUCUGUUGCAACCAUAGUGAACCUGUUGCAUCAGAUAAUUUAAUUGUUAAUAAUUUAAAAAAUAAAUUCAAAAAUAAAAAUGGUGAAAAGUCACGAUCAGUUAUUAAAAUUGUGGUUAUAAAUUGUGUUUAUUAUUUAUUUCCUUAUUAUUUAUUUACGAAAUAUUUUUCUUAUUGAAUAAUCGGAACUGAAAAUCAUGUCUUUUCCUUUUCACCCUCUCAAUAACAACAAUAGCCCUUAUUUAUUAAUAACCGCCAGGUGCAACAUAUGAUCGAUAUGUCGUAGCAGAUUAACCUCUAACUGUUGACACAAAUAUCUGCUCAAUCCCUACCACCAACCGUCGACAUAUUGAGAACAAGGAAUAAACAAAAUGAUUAUUAUUAAAUACUAAAUAAGAAUUAAAAAUUCAAAGUCGACAACAAAAUGAAAUGAAUAUUCAUAGAUUUUUGAAUCCCUUGGGUAGAUUUGAUAGACAAAAGGAGGAAAAUAAUCGCUAAAAUAAAAAACAUUACCUAAUUAUUAUUACUACUACUAUUAUUAUUAGUGUCAAUCAUACAUCUUUCAUCCGGCAGCCUUGCUCCAAAGUAAGCCAAAUCUCUCUGGAGUUCAUCAAAUUGUCUUUGAAGUUCACGCAAGGACUCAAUAUGAAUAUUCUUGUAUGAAUCUGGAUCAUCCAUAUUUGUAAGGAGGGUCUUAUUUAUAAAUUAUUGUAUCGGAAAGAAAAGAAAAUUGCUUUAAAAUAAAUCUAACAAAUGGGUAAUUUGUUGCAAAAUAUAUUCUUUCUGUUAGAUAACUUACAACAUACUGACAAUCAUUUUGCAACAGAUGUAUAUAUCUAUUUGAUUUCUGCAAUAAGUUGAUCAAAUUUCAUAACAGAUAUCUCUAAUUGUUUGACAAUAUAAACAGAUGUGUCAUCUGUUGCAACAAGCUAGUCAUCUGUUUAUUCAAUUUAAGCCAUAGAUGGGCUAGGAAGAAUAAGGUACAUGCAGAUGGAUCCACUAUCAUAUGUAUGAGAUUUAAGUAUGUAUUACUGAUAAGAUUACCAGGACAACACAUACAAAGUACAAUAUUUUUGUGAAUGCAGUUUUUAACCGAUUAGGUAUUGAUCAUUCAAAUAAGAUCCUGCUUUGUACCAUUAAGUUUGAUGGGUUCGAAAUUGAUAAGGCUGAGGACCUCAUGAAGAUGGUGCAGAUGUCCUGUUACCAAUUAUUGACGGUUAGUGCUCGUGUUUAUACGUGUCAAGUUUUGAGAAGGGAUCAAUAUUUGUCAUCACUACAGAGAACCGAUAGCGAUUGGACUUAACUUUAAGUGUGCAUUGGACACUUAGAGGGGCCUCGAAGCCUCACACUGCAUCAAACAAGAACGAAAAACCAAUAUAGUUAUUGCCCUAGCCAAAAUUUAUAUGGUUGGGUUGCUCGCUCGAGGUGAUGAUUAUAUGCCAGAAGGUGUGGUAGGAGAAUGCUUUCGAGGAAAAAUGGGUGGUUGAUGGAGGACUAUAUUAUGUGAGAGCUAAUUAAAGAAGAGAAACAGGGUAGAAAGUAACUUCUAACGAAUUUGGCCAAUGGAGUUAUCUUAACAGAUGCGAAAUCUGAAUCAAGUGGAAAUAUAAAAGUGUAUCUGGUAAUGUAAUUUUGUCUGUUGUGUCUCUGAAAGAAAAACAAUGCAGAUAGACACUUUGCUAGGGAGCUAUAUGGUCGGGAUUAUCACCUAGGUAGAAAAUAAGAGAAGACCAACAAAGAAGCCUCACGGACAUCGAGGGUAGAAGUGAUGUUCAGCAAGUAUAGAAAACUUACGCCAACAACAACUGCAGUUAAAAUAAGUAAACUAAGCGAAGGCGGCAAUUUCUAAAUUUUAAAUUUCAUCCCAUCUUUUUGUUUGUGUUUCCGAUCAGGUCCACUGUCGUUGACCUGAUCAAAACCACAAACGUGAUUGAAAGGCAAAUAGAGUAUAAUUACUUCCUUAGCAAUAUGGAUUAAUUGAUUGUGUUUUCUUGCCUUAGCAUGCUUUCAACAUUCCUUGGAAAAUAUCAGAUUCUUGUUGUAGUAUGUGAAUCUCGAUAAUUUUCAAGCUUGCCUUCAGCUUAUUGAUUCUGUAUUCAAGAUAGUCGUUACUGUCUUCAAAGUUGGUGAGGAGUUCCUUCUCUCUUGUGAGCUCGAUCAGGAACACUACCUUCAGAACACUUUCUUCAGAAGACUUAAAGGAUACAUAAAGGGUCGUUGUGUUUGUUUUAGGUCAAAAUAUGUUGAUGCAUGUUGAAGAUGUGGUCCCAACAGUUGAACAACACACUUUUAUCGAGUGUUUCUCCAUACAUCUUGCUCAACCAAUUUGAUAAAUUAGUAAGCAUGGAGUUACAUAGUAUGUGGUUUAAACUGGAUCUACCAAGCCUAUCAAAUGUUACGUAACUCCGAGCUCAUUACCAUAUCAAAACAAUAUGCCCGAGUUAGUGCACAAAUAAAAAAAGCCCAAUCUGUCAGCCUUUCUGCUGAUCACUCUUCUCCAAUAUAGAUGACAAGAUAUCUGCUAUGCAAAAAUCUACACCAUUGCCAGACAUGCUUUCCUGGGAGCGAUUCUUCAGAAGACAUCAACAGAUAUCCUUCAGAAGAAUUGAUCCUAGGCAAACAUGUCUGGCGACGGUGUAGAAUUUUGCAUAGCAGAUAUCUUGUCAUCUAUAUUGGAGAAGAGCGAUUAGCAGAAAGGCUGAGAGAUUGAGCUUGUUUGAUUUGUGCACUAACUCAGUUAUAUUUUUUUAUAGUGUAAUAAGCUUAGAGUUACGUAAUGUUUGAUAGGCUUGGUAGAGCUGGUUUAGAUCACACACUAAGUAACUCCAUGCUUACUAAUUUAUCAAAUUGGUUGCGCAAGAUGCAUAGAGCAACGCUCGAUAAAAGUGUGUUGUUUAACUAUUAGGACCACAUCUUCAACGUGCAUCAACACAUUUUGACCUAAAACAAACACAGAGACCCUCCAUGUAUCCUUUAAGGCUUCCGAAGAAAGUGUUCUAAAGGGCUUCUAGAAUGCCACAACUUUGAAGGUAGUGUUCCUGAUCGAUCUCACAAGUGACGAGGAACUCCUUACCAACCUCGAAGAGGGCAACGACCAGCUUGAAUAUAGAAUCAACAAGCUGGAGGCAAGCUUGAAAAUUAUCGGGAUUCACAUACUACAGCAAGCAUCUAAUCUUCUCCAAGAAAUAUUGAAAGCAUAUCAAGGCAAGAAAAUACAAUCAAUUAUAACCAUAUUGCUAAGGAAGCAAUGAUACUCUAUUUUCCUUUCAAUCUCGUUUGUGGUUUCAAUCAGGUCAACGAUAGUGGACUUAAUCGGAAACACAAACAAGAAAGCAUGGGAUGAAAUUUAAAAUUCAAAAAUUUGUUGCCUUUACUUAGAUUCUUUAUUUUAACUUCAGUUGCUGUUGGCAUAAGUUUUCUAGACUUGCUGUACAUCAUUUCAACCCUCGAUGCCCGCGAUCCUUCUUUGUUGGCCUUCUCCUAUUUUCUAUCUAGGUGAUACUCCCAACCACGCAGCUCCCUAACAAAGUGUUCAGAUGCAUUGUUUAUCUUUCAGAGACAUAAUAGAUGAAAUUACAUUAACGGAUACACUUCAUAUUUGCACUUGAUUCAGAUCUCGCAUCUGUUAAGAUAAUUCCACCUGCCAAAUUUAUUAGAAGAUACUUUCUACCCUAUGUCUCUUCUUCAAUUAUCUCUCAGAUGAUAUAGUCUUCCAUCAACCACCCAUUUUCCUUCGAAAGCAUUCUUCUACCGCACAUUCUGGCAUAAAAUCAUCACCCCGAUAUAUUGGUUUUUCAUUCUUAUUAGAUGCAGUGCUAAGCUUUGAAGGCCCUCUAAGGGUCCAAAUCACCCUAAAAGUUAGUCCAAUCGCUAUUAAAUCUCUUUACAAUGACACAAAAACUACAUCCCUUCACAAUGGUUGAUAAAUAAACAUGAUCAACAACUGAUAUUAAAUCUUAACAGGCUAUCAGAACCAUAUUCAUGGUCCCUCAGCUUUAUCAGUUUGGACCUACCAAACUUAACUGUAAAAUUGCAGAUAUCUUGUUUGAACGAUCUAUGAAUAAUCAUUAAAAACAUCAUUCACAAAAUCAGUGCACUCUGUGUGUGUUUCCACAAUAACAUUAUCAGUAAUACAUACCUCCAACAUAUGAAAUAGUUCCAUCUACAAGAAGCUUAUUCCUCCGAUCCCAUCUUUACUGCAGCCUCUUGCUAUAGUCCAUCAAAAGUUGAUCAACUUUCAGUUCCUUAUAUCUACAAAAAAGAGGGGAAAAUUGAUGUCACAAAAAGAACAUUGUCAUCUGUUCCAUCAGAUGUGGAGCCUGUGGCAACAGAUGUGGAGUUUGUUGCAACAGAUGUAGAGUUUGUUGCAAUAGAUGUGGAGUCUGAUAAAAUACAUCAAACCAUCCUUACUGGUGAUUUUAUUUGUUCCAACAGUUUCUCCUUGCAACAUCAACAACAACAUAAACAUCAACAAAAAAAAACAACAACAUUUGUUCCAACAACAUCAUCAACAGCAAAGAAGCAAUAUCUUUUAUUCUAGAACCAUCAGCAACACCACACCACAAGUUCCAACAAUGCCAACCCCAUCAACAAUAAUGAAACAAAUAAAAUACAUACAAAAAAAUGAUACUGCCAACAAGGCUUUUAAACUUCUCCCAACAGAUAACUUUUUUCUCAUAUUGUAAUAAAAAUACUCAGAUUGUUUAUUCAAUACUUACAAGUUCCUUAAAAAAAAUUAAUAAAUAUGAUAUGGGUAAAUAGUAAUUAAAUAAAAAAAAUAAAUGCAAAUAACUUGCAAAGAAGAAGAGGAGAAUGAAAGAGCAAUAAUGAACCAUACCUUAAUAUCAAAAAGGAGAUCAAAAUAGAAAUUUAAGUCGAGGAAAGAUAUGGAUGGGUUUAGAUCCGAAAAGAACUUUAUGAGAAGAGAAGAGAAAAGAGAGAAAAAGGUUGUGACCCUAAAGAGGAGAGAAAAAAAAAUGAGAGUUGAACAAAAUAAAUUGCAGCUGAAAGAAGAGAUGAGAUAAUUUCUAUAGAUGUAUUAUGUACAUAGAUGUGGUGGUUUUCAAUAUUCAUUAAUUUCAUUAAUAAUUUGAGGGGCAUGAGGAAGACUAAGACUACUAACAUUGAAAAGACUAGCUAAGACUGCUCAAUGAACUCACUUUUGAGAUAUCCAAGAAAUAUUUUUUACCGUCUUUAGUAGUAAGUACUACUAUUUGAUAUUAUCUACUCGGACCAGAAGCUUCUUGCUUUAAAAUUAAAAGAGAAAAAAAGAUUUUCAAACAGAUAUGUCAUCUGUUGCAACAUAUAUAAAUAUCUGUUUAGAAAUCCAAACAGCUUAGUCAUCUGUUAUAACAGAUAUAAAUAUCUAUUUAAAAAUCCCAACAACUUAGUCAUCUGUGACAAUGGAUGAAAAUGUUCAUUUGAUAAUUAAUAAAAUCAGAUAUGUCAUCUGUUAAAAUAGAUAUAAAUAUAUCUUUGAAAAUUUCCAACAUCUCAGUCAUCUGUCACAACAGAUGCAAAUAUCUAUUUGAUAAUUAAAUCAGAUAUGUCAUUUGUUGCAAUAUAUAUGUACCUGUUUGAAAAUUUUCAACAGUUUAGUCGUUUGUUGCAACAAAUUUUAUUGCAAUUGACUUAGGUGGAACUAGGGAUGAAUGAAUGGGUUUGCAGAGUCAACUACAAAUUUAAUCGAUUCUUUACAAUUGCAUGGUGUUGGUAUUGCUUUCAUCCCGAUCCGAAUCAUCGAUCGAUCACUCUGAGUUGAAAUGAGUUCUCAUCAACUCAAUGUUAGGAUAGUGAUAGUACCUAAGAUGAUUUAGGUGGAACUAGGGAUGAAUGAAUGAGCUCGCAGAGUCAACUACAAAUCCAAUUGAGUCUUUGCAAUUGAAUAGUGUUGGUAUUGCGUUCAUACCUACCCAAGUCAUUGAUCGAUCACUCUGAGUUGAAAUGAGUUCUCAUCAACUCAAUGUUAGGAUAGUUAUAGUACCUAAGUUGAUUAAGGAGGAACUAGGGAUGAAUGAAUGAGCUUACUGUCACGACCCAAAUCAGGGCUGGGCCGUGACGAGAAUUUCAAACCAUUGAGGCCCAAAACACCCCUAUCUAUCUGGUAAUCAUGCACCUAAUUCAUAUGAUCAAAGAAAUGCGGAAAAAAACACAAUAAUUCGGAAACAUGGUCAUAAAUAUGAAAAGAGACAAUAAUGGAGAGAUAAUGUUCCCUCAACAUCAAUUAUCCUCUGAACAACUGUCUACGAAAAUCUCUAACAAAUAACUGAAAUAAUGUCUAUCUGAAAACUGGGACAAGGCCCCUAGUAGACCCAAAAACUGAAUAUAAGAUAAAAGGACUGCAGGACAUAAGACCUUCCAAAAAAUAGAAGGCUCACCACUUGUCUCUACAGCUCUGUUUGAAAGUUCUACUGAUUCUCUUGACCCCUAGACUGGGCAUCUGAACCUGAGAGGUUGGAGAGGGGAGGGGGUCAGCACAAAAGUACUGGCACGCAGAGAUAUCAAAACAAAACAUAAUAUUUUUACAAAGUAUAGUUGAGAGCCAUUAUAAAGCAAUUUCGUAUCAAAUCAUUUGAAAGCACAUGGGUGUAAUGCAAUAGUUUUUUUCUCAACAAUAAUGAAAUGCAACUGAGCUAGGUGGAAUACCCUACAUAAUUUACACCAACUGUCAAACCUCGGUUGCCGCCGAGAUUAGAGUAUAAGUGAGGGAGAGACACACAAGACCACGAAGCAUGGUGUCUCGACCCNNNNNNNNNNNNNNNNNNNNNNNNNNNNNNNNNNNNNNNNNNNNNNNNNNNNNNNNNNNNNNNNNNNNNNNNNNNNNNNNNNNNNNNNNNNNNNNNNNNNNNNNNNNNNNNNNNNNNNNNNNNNNNNNNNNNNNNNNNNNNNNNNNNNNNNNNNNNNNNNNNNNNNNNNNNNNNNNNNNNNNNNNNNNNNNNNNNNNNNNNNNNNNNNNNNNNNNNNNNNNNNNNNNNNNNNNNNNNNNNNNNNNNNNNNNNNNNNNNNNNNNNNNNNNNNNNNNNNNNNNNNNNNNNNNNNNNNNNNNNNNNNNNNNNNNNNNNNNNNNNNNNNNNNNNNNNNNNNNNNNNNNNNNNNNNNNNNNNNNNNNNNNNNNNNNNNNNNNNNNNNNNNNNNNNNNNNGGGUAUCAAGACAUUAUCAUGGGAAUUUGAAAGCAAUUUAUCAUUCAUAUUUAUCAAACUUCCAUGGAAAAUCUCAAAUCACAUAUGCAUGGUUUCAACCAUUGAAGUAUAUAGGCAAACAAUUCCCAUGACAUAAAGAAAACGACUUAAAAAUCGUAUUGAAAGCAAGAUAUUAGCAUUUGAUUGAAAACCCCCAUUUAAAACCAUGCAUGUUCAUAAAAACUACACCCAUGAGAUUUUUGGAUAACCCCACGUACCUUUAUUUCCAAGGAUAAUAGGUGUUUCUUGAAGCUUGCGGAUUGAUGAAUCCAAAUAUGUAAUUAUCUUUGAAAACCUAAGGUCAAAUCUUGAACUAUUUGGGUUUUUAUUUUGAAACCCUAAGGAGAAUCUUGAGCAAUUUUGAUGAAAGAAUAUGUAUUUUGGGAUCGUUGGAACUAAAUCUCGUGUUUCAGGGCUAAGUAAGGGUGAAAAAGGACCACUUUAUUCUCAACACGGAGUGUUUAAAUCACCAGAAUUCCUUACAUAGGCGCCGCCCGUCCCGUUGCCUAUGUUCACAUAGGCACCGCCUAGGAUAUCGCCUAUGUUUGCAUAGGCGCCACCUAGGCUAUCGCCUAUGUUUUCCAGUGGCUAUGGGCAAUUGGUUAGGCGACGCUUAUCACUUUGAAGGGCCAUAACUUUUUGCUCGGGUGUUGGAUUUUUGCCUAAUUGGUAUCGUUGGAAAGCUAACUUGAAUACCUAUCAUUUGACACAUAGUAGGCUUCAUAAUUUGACAUAUACAGAGAGUUAUGGUCGAUGGAAGCUGACACACUUUACAACAUCUACUAAAACUUAGUCGAUCGAAAUAGUUCCAACUCGUCCUUGAGUUGAAGGACCUCUAUGGUCUAAAUUCAAGCUUGAGCGGAUUCACAUGCUACCCAAUAAUUAACAUGCCAUAUUGGCAUAGGAUUUUAUGGAUUUGGGAUUAGCAACGCAUCGAAAUCAUGGUCUAUAUUGUAGCCCGAAUUACGGGGCGUUACAUUAUCCCCCCUUAGGAUCAUUCAUCCCCGAAUGAUGAAGCGGGACACAGAUAGACACGAUUUCAAGCAUAAUAAUGGACUAGGAAAGAUACGAUAGGAAUAGUACCUUCUGUCUCCUCCUUUAUCGAAGCAAACAAAUUGGGAUAUCUAAUUUACAUGUCAUCUUCUGACUCCCAAGUUGCUUCUUCGACUUUCUGAUUCCUCCAUAGUACCUUUACUGAGGCUAUCUCUUUGCUCCUCAUCUUUCAAACUUGGCAAUCUAAAAUUUCAAAAGGCUCUUCUUCGUAAGACAAGGAAUCUGUCACUUUGAUACCCUCUACUGGCAAUACCCUAGAAUGAUCUCCAAUGCAUUUCUUCAACAUGAAUACAUCGAAUACUAGAUGAACGAAACCCAAACUUGCAGGCAAUUCUAACUCAUAUACAAUUGUACCAAUCUUUUUCAAAAUCUGAUGUGGCCCUACAUAAAGAGGGCUCAAUUUACCUCUUUUUCCAAACCGCAUAACUCCUUUUAUAGGAGAAACCUUUAGAAACACCCAAUCACUAAUUUCAAACUCUAGUUCUCUUCUCCAAACAUUGGCAUAGGACUUCUGAUGAAUCUGAGCAGUCUUGAGUCGUUCUCUAAUGAUUUUUACUUUCUCCAUCGCCUGAUGAACAAGAUCAGGCCCAUACAACUGAGUCUCACCCAUUUUAUACCAUCCUAUAGGAUACCUACAUCUUCUCCCAUACAAGGCCUCAAAAGGAGCCAUCUUAAUGCUAGCAUGGUAGCUAUUAUUCUAGGCGAAUUCAACCAGUGGCAGGUGAUCUACCCAACUACUAUUGAAAUCGAUGACGCAUGCCCUCAAAAUAUCUUUGAGGGUCUGAAUGGUACGCUCAGCUUGCCCAUCCGUCUGAGGGUGGAAAGCUGUGCUCAAAUUUACUUGUGUACCUAAACCCUUCUGAAAGGAUCUCCAAAACUGAGAUGAAAACUGUGUACCUCUGUCGGAUAUAAUGGACACUGGUGCCCCAUGUAAUCAAACUAUCUCCUCAAUGUAAAUCUUAGCAUAAACCUCUCCCAAACAAUUAGUCCUCACAGGCAAAAAGUGAGCUAACUUGGUCAACCGAUCUACAAUCACCCUUAUAGAAUCAUACUGGUUUCGGGAUCUCAGAAGUCCUGUAAUAAAGUCCAUAUUUAUCAUCUCCCACUUCCAUAAAGGUAGGGCUAUCUCUUGGGAAGUACGACCUGGCCUCAUGUGUUCUACUUUUACUUGCUGACAGUUCAAACACUUGGACACAAAAUCAGCUACAUCAUGUUUCAUGUUAUUCCACCAAUACAAGGUUUUUAGAUCAUGGUACAUCUUAGUAGAGCCUGGGUGAAUGACAUACCUCGAAGUGUGCACCUCAUUAAGGAUUCUUUCUCGUAGACCAUCGAUAUUCGGAAUGCACAACCUACCCUGAAAUCUCAGAAUACCAUCGCCACCAAUUUCAAAUGACAUAACCUUUUUUUGACCCAUAUCUUUCUUGAUUUGCAUCAAGAUGGGAUCUUCAACCUGAUUCUCCUUAACUUCAGCACAAAGAGAUGGCUUAGCUAACUCAUGAACAAUCACCCCUCCAUCUUCGAAAUCUAUGAGUCGCACCCCCAGAUUUGCAAGGCGGUGAAUAUCCUUCACCAUCUCUUUCUUUCCUUCUUCUACAUGAGAAAGNNNNNNNNNNNNNNNNNNNNNNNNNNNNNNNNNNNNNNNNNNNNNNNNNNNNNNNNNNNNNNNNNNNNNNNNNNNNNNNNNNNNNNNNNNNNNNNNNNNNNNNNNNNNNNNNNNNNNNNNNNNNNNNNNNNNNNNNNNNNNNNNNNNNNNNNNNNNNNNNNNNNNNNNNNNNNNNNNNNNNNNNNNAAGUCAUAAGUGGGGUAAUUGCGCUCAUGAACCUUUAACUGCCUAGAUGCAUAAGCUAUCACCUUACCAUGCUGCAUCAAUACACAACCAAGUCCCACACGGGAUGCAUCACAAUAAACCAUAAAAUCAUCUACACACUCGGGAAAGGCCAAAGUUGGAGCAGUAGUCAGCUUGUCCUUCAAUUUCUCAAAACUAUUUUCACACAAGUCAGACCACGCAAACUUCAUCUUUUUCUGAUUUAGUUUAGUAAGCGGAGCAAAUAUGGAAGAAAAACUCUCUAUGACCUUCUGUAAUACCCCGCAAAACCCAAGAAGCUCCGAAUAUCGGUUGGAUUUAUGGGUCUGGGCCAUUUUCUCAUUGCUUCAACUUUCUGGGGAUCCACUCUUAUCCCAUCACUAGACACAAUAUGCCCUAGGAAGGCAAUAGCAUCUAACCAGAAUUCACAAUUAGAAAAUUUGGCAUACAGCUGAUGAUCCUUAAGGGUCUGAAGGAUAAUUCGGAGGUGAUUGGCGUGAUCCUCUUUACUCUUAGAAUAGAUCAGAAUAUCAUCAAUAAAUACAAUGAUGAACAAGUCAAGAAACAAACAAAACACUCUAUUCAUAAGAUCCAUGAAGGCUGCAGGGGCAUUAGUCAACCCGAAGGACAUGACUAGAAAUUUGUAGUGACCAUAGCGGGUUGGGAAGGCUGUCUUAGGUAUGUCUGACUCCCUAACUUUCAACUAAUUAUAACCCGAACGAAGGUCUAUUUUUGAAAAAAACUUGGCACCCUGAAGUUGGUCAAAAAGGUUGUCAAUCCUAGGAAGAGGAUAUUUAUUUUUAAUCGUGACCUUAUUCAGCUGACGGUAGUCUAUGCACAUCCGAAGGGACCCAUCCUUCUUUCGCACGAAGAGCACGGGUGCACCCCAUGGGGAAACACUAGGAUGAAUAAAACCUUUGUCUAGGAGGUCUGCAAGCUGUUCCUUUAACUUCUUUAGUUCCACAGGAGCUAUUCUAUAUAGCGGAAUAGAAAUAGGACGAAUGUCUGGCAACACAUCAAUGCCAAAAUUUAUCUCCCUAUCAGGGAGUAUCCCUGGGAGAUCUUCGGGAAAGACUUCUGGGAAUUCAUUCACUACAGGGACUGACUGUAGAGGAAGGUUUCCAACUUUUGAAUCUUUUACUCGGAUUAGAUGAUACAUACAACCUUUGGAGAUAAGCUUUUGGGCUCGAAGAUAAGAGAGAAAGUGACAUCUAGGUUCCACAGAACUCCCUUCCCAAACAACUGGUGUCUCAUUCAGGAAAGAAAAAGUGACCUUUCGGGUUUUGCAAUCAAGGGUGGCAUAACACGAAUGGAGCCAGUCCAUACCAAGGAUGGUAUCAAAGUCUAUCAUAUCCAGUUCUAUAAGGCCUGCCACAGUUUUCCUACCAUGAAUAGACACGACACAAUUUCUAUAUACCCUUCUAGAAAUAACAGAAUCACCUACCGGAGUAGAAACAGAGAAGGGUUCUACAAUAACUUCGGGCUCAAACCCGAAACCAACAGCCACAUAAGGGGACACAUAAGAUAAUAUAGACCUGGGAUCAAGCAAGACAUAAACAUCACGAGAAAAGAUUUAUAACAUACCAGUGAUAACAUCCGGUGAAGCUUCCGCCUCCUGGUGGAUAGUCAAAGAAUAUAACCGGUUGCGAUCGCUUUCGGCAGCUGAAGGGGAACCCUUAGGGAAAGGAGCUGUGGAGGCGGUUUGGGACUUAGCCCCCCUCCUCCCCCCUGCAUUUACUCCAGCAGAUGGAUAAUCUCUUUGAAGGAGACCCACUUUGACAUAAGUAUAGUAGUUUCUUCCCUCAAACCAGCACUUCCCUGGUGAUUCCUUCCGCAAACCCCACACCAUAGACGAGUACGAUAUUGUUGGGCCACACUGCCCUGAGACUGUGUACCUAGAGCUUUGGACCCAUGAGGAAUCUAAAAUUUAUGAGUUUGUCGGUUUGUCGGUGGUCUAGGUGCUGGGGCGCUGGCCGCUGACUGUGCAUUAUUCCAAAACUUCUUCUUCUUCAACCACUUAUUAGCCCAGUUAACACUCUGCGGCUGACUCUGGUGCUGGUCUGCAGAUUUAGCUCUCUUAGCCUGUCUAUCUUUCACUCUAGAUUCAGCAAUCUUUUUUUUCUUCCCUUCCACUUGAUGCAUAUAAACGGUCAGUCGAGCAAAGUCUAACUCCUUAUUCAACAUAGCCCCCUGGCACUCAAGUACCAGGUCAUCAGCAAGGACAGAUGCAAACUUCCUCAUUCGGGCCCUCAUAUUACUAGUCAACUCUGGUGCAUAGCGGGCUAGUUUAUUAAACUUCAAAGUGUACUCCUGGACACUCACACUUCCCUGUUUCAGAUUCAUAAACUCUUCCGCUUUGGCCUCACUCAACUCCAGAGGAAAGAAUCGAUGAAGGAAGGCUUCCACAAAUUUGCCCCAAACUGUGGGCUCAGCACUUUCACCUUUUUUAUCUUCCCAGUCAGCAUACCACUGACUCGCAAUGUCCUUGAGAUAAUAGGUUGCUAGCUCCACCCCUUCAACUUUAUCCACAUGCAUCACCUUAAAGAUCUUUUCCAUCUCAUCCACGAACUCCUAUGGAUCUUCCUCCACCUUGGUGCCAGUGAACUUAGGUAGGUUCAUCUUCAUUAAAUGUCCGACUCUAGUAGCCUCAAAUGUAACAGAUGCAUACCCAACAUCUUCCAAUCAUUGAGCUUGGUUGGCUACCAACUGUGUCAAUAUAUGAAUAGACCGUCUGAAUUCUGCAUUUGAAAUAUCCCCCUGAGCAGUUGGGGGACGGUUGACAUUAGUCUGUGGAGCCCGAGGUGGACUGGUCGGGACUGGAGGGACUCCCGGAGUAGGGACAAAUUUUGGAGUGUGAGCCCUAUUAUAGGUUCGCAUCGCAUGGGUGGGACGGACCUCAUAUGCCUGAGCAUUCUAAUCGACGAUACGACGUGGAGGCAUAACUAUGUUUCUGAAACACAAGUGAUCAUUGAUUAGGGGACAGUUUAGACUCUGAAGCACGAACUAAAUCACAAAAAAGGGAAACAUUUCCUAAAUGCCUAGCAGCCUCCUGCUUAUAAGUGUGGCGCGCUACACACCCAUAAAUAAAAUUCUACCCAACGCAAUUUCCCAGACACGCUGGGACUAUGAACCAUGCUUUGAUACCAAGUUUGUCAUGACCCAAACCAGGGCCUGACCGUGAUGAGCAUUUCGAACCAUUGAGGCCUGAAACACCCCUAUCUGUCUGGUAAUCAUGCACCUAUUUCAUAUGAUCAAAGAAAUGCGGAAAAAAAUACAAUAAUUCAGAAACAUGGUCAUAAAUAUGAAUAGAGACAAUAAUGGGGAGAUAAUAUUCCCUCAACAUCAAUUAUUCUCUGAACAACUAUCUGUGAAAAUCUCUAACAAAUGAAUGAAACAAUGUCUAUCUGAAAAAUAGGACAAGGCCCCCAGUAGACCCAAAAACUGCAUAUAAGAUAAAAGGACUGCAGGACAUAAAACCUUCCAAAACAUAGAACGCUCACCACGUGUCUGUACAGCUCGGUCUGAAAGUUCUACUGAUUCUCUUGACCCCUAGACUGGACCUCUAAACCUGAGAGGUUGGAGAGGGAAGGGGGUCAGCACAAAAGUACUGGCAUUGAGAGAUAUCAAAACAAAACAUAAUAUUUUUACAAAGCAUAGUAGAGAGCCAUUAUAAAGCAAUUUCGUAUUAAAUCAUUUGAAAGCACAUGGUGUAAUGCAAUAGUUUUUUUCUUAACAAUAAUGAAAUGCAACUGAGCUAGGGGGAAUACCCUACAUAAUUUACACCAACUGUCAAACCUCGGUUACCGCCGAGAUUAGAGAAUAAGUAAGAGAGAGACACAUAAGACCACGAAGCAUGGUGUCUCGACCCAAAUCAAAUAUGGUAGUGCACGAGACCACAAAGCAUGGCUACUGACCAUAAUCCCAAUUUGGAAUAAUAUAAUAUUAGGUACACAAGACCACAAAGCAUGAUACCAAGUUCCCGAGUUGGCAAACACGGUUUCCAGCGUAGAAUCAAAUGACUCAUGCUUUCUUUAGGCAACCACCUAUCUCAUUUAAAAUCAAUGCAUUCAAAUUUCAUCUUAUUCAAUCAUAUGUCGUAUUCUGUAGGGUAUCGUCAUACCUGACUUGCAAGUCAUCAAUAUCACAUCCACAUAUGCAUAAUCAUGUAAAAAACCAAGGUACUUCAUCAUUUAUAAGUGGUGAACAAUAUUUAUUUCAAAUUCAUGCUCUCUUUUAUUGAUCACAAUAUAAUAUGGAGUGUCGAAACAUUAUCAUGGGAAUUUGAAAACAAUUUAUCAUUCAUAUUUAUCAAACUUCCAUAGAAAAUCUCAAAUCACAUAUGCAUGGUUUCAACCAUUGAAGUAUAUAGGCAAACAAUUCCCAUGACAUAAAGAAAACGACUUAAAAAUCGUAUUAAAAGCAAGAUAUUAGUAUUUGAUUGAAAACCCCCAUUUAAAACCAUGCAUGUUCAUAAAAACUACACCCAUGAGAUUUUUGGAUAACCCCACGUACCUCUAUUUCCAAGGAUAAUAGGUGUUUCUUGAAGCUUGCGGAUUGAUGAAUCCAAAUAUGUAAUUAUCUUUGAAAACCUAAGGUCAAAUCUUGAACUAUUUGGGUUUUUAUUUUGAAACCCUAAAGAGAAUCUUGAGCACUUUUGAUGAAAGAAUAUGUAUUUUGGGGUCCUUGGAACUAAAUCUCGUGUUUUAGGGCUAAGUAAGGGUGGAAAAGGACCACUUUGUCCUCAACACGGAGUGCUAAAAUCACCAGAAUUCGUACAUAGGCGCCGCCCAUCCCGUUGCCUAUGUUCACAUAGGCACCGCCUAGGCUAUCGCCUAUGUUUGCAUAGGCGCUUCCUAGGCUAUCGCCUAUGUUUGCAUAGGCGCUUCCUAGGCUAUCGCCUAUGUUUGCAUAGGCGCCGCCUAGGCUAUCGCCUAUGUUUGCAUAGGCGCUUCCUAGGCUAUCGCCUAUGUUUGCAUAGGCGCCGCCUAGGCUAUCGCCUAUGUUUGCAUAGGCGCCGCCUAAGCUAUUGCCUAUGUUUUCCAGUAGCCAUGGGUGAUUGGUUAGGCGAUGCUUAUCACUUUGAAGGGCCAUAACUUUUUGCUCGGGUGUUGGAUUUUUGCCAAAUUGGUAUCGUUGGAAAGAUAACUCGAAUACCUAUCAUUUGACACAUAGUAGGCUUCCUAUUUCAAUAUGUAUAGAGUGUUAUGGUCAAUGGAAACUGACACACUUUACAACAUCUACUAAAACUUAGUCAAUAGAAAUAGUUCCAACUCUUCCUUGAGUUGAAGGACCUCUAUGGUCUGAAUUCAAGCUUGAGCGGAUUCACAUGCUACCCAAUAAUUAACAUGCCGUAUUGGCAUAGAAUUUUAUGGCUUCAGGAUUAGGAAUGCAUCGAAAUCAUGGUCUAUAUUGUAGCUCGAAUUGUGGGGCGUUACACUCGCAGGGUCAACUAUAAAUCCAAUCGUGUCUUUGCAAUUACAUGGUGUUGGUAUUGUGUUCAUCCUAACCCCGAGUCGUCGAUCGAUCACUCUGAGUUGAAAUGAGUUCUCAUCAACUCAAUGUUAGGAUAGUGAUAGUGCCUAAGUUGAUUUAGGUGGAACUAGGUAUGAAUGAAUGAGCUCGCAGGGUGAACUACAAAUCCAAUUGAGUCUUUACAAUUGCAUAGCGCUAGUAUUGCGUUCAUCCCAACCUGAGUCCGUCAAUCGAUCACUCUGAGUUGAAAUGAGUUCUCAUCAACUCAAUGUUAGGAUAGUAAUAGUACCUAAGUUGAUUUAGGUGGAACUAGGUAUGAAUGAAUGAGCUCGCAGGGUGAACUACAAAUCCAAUUGAGUCUUUACAAUUGCAUGGCAUUGGUAUUGCGUUCAUCCCGACCCGAGUCAUCGAUCAUUCACUUUGAGUUGAAAUGAGUUCUCAUCAACUCAAUGUUUUGAAAACUAUAUCUUUUAAAAUUUUUAAAAUUAAUUAAGAUCAAUUCGGACCAAAUUAGCAAUUUCAAAACUUGUCAUUCUUUUCCAAAAUUACAAAUCAACCCAUACAAAUCAUCUAUUUGCGCAAAAAACUUUUCAUUUCAAAUCUUAAGUACUCGCUCUUCUCUCUCUCUCUCGGGGUGUUCUCUCCCUCUCAACAAUACAAACAACAACUACUCAAAAUAUUGCUCAACCCUUCAAAACAGGUCAAUUUUUUUUCCAUUUACGACUACAUAUAGUUAUUUUUUUCGACUUCAUUCACAAUUCUAUCCAUUAUUUUCUCUAUUUUCGCAUGUAACAGAGUUCGAAAAGAGUUCUACAUUUGUUUUUUAUUCUAAAAAAUAGGGCUUUUUAGUUAAUGAUAAAAAAGAAAACUUUUAGUUGUAUUAUCUUCGAGAAUGGGUUAACAAUCUUGAGUUUUGAUGCUAAAAAAGUAGGAAGAACCCGAGAAAAUCCUAGUUUUUCUCUCAGUCUUUUGUUAACUGUCGUGGUAUUGUUGGAUGGUGUUUGUGGUGUUGGUGGUGGUUGUUGUUAGUGGUGUUGGUAUUUGUAUUUUUUGGCGGUGGUGACGGUGGUCUUGGUGUUGGUAUUGGUGGCAUUGGUUGUGGUGGUGGUGGUUCAUCUGUUGCAACGGGUGGAAGAUCUGUUGGGAGAUAUUAAAUAGGUCUUUAAACAGAUUCACUAUCUGUUCCAACUGAUGAGUUAUCCGUUGGAGUAUUUUCUUGUAAUGUGGCAUAGAAUAAUUUAUUAAAAUUUCUCCACCUGUUGCAACAAGUGGAAUAUAUGUGGGGAGAUAUUAAAUAGGUCUUCAAACAGAUUUGGGUUCCCCAUCUGUUCCAACUGAUGGGUUAUCCGUUGGAGUAUUUUUUUUGUUAUGUGGUAAGAAUAAUUUAUUGAAAUUUGUCUCACCUUUUUUAAAAAAAUUAUGCAGACAUCAAAUGCAAUGUAUUUUUGUUUUUCUUUUAUUUGUAGUUAAAAGAUGUCUCCCAAAAGAAAAGAAACAGAAAGUGGAGAAAGUGGAUCAACUUUCAAUCACCAAAUGAAAAAGGUUAAAGUACAGAUAGAUUCGGAGGAACUUCUAGAACAAUCUCAGUCAGGGCAAAAUAAAGUCGAGGAAACUGAUAACUCCUCCUCACCAAUGGGUCGUGAAAGCGAUCGUUGUCAAUAUAAAACCCAACUAGGUUGGUGUCGAAUCCCACAGGGAAUAGGGUGUGAACUUCGAUUUGUUUACGAAAGAUUUUACUGGUAGUUUACUGUUUUUGAAUGAUGGGUGUUUAAGUUCACGGUGUGUUAAAUAUCACUUUCAAUACUUCAGUGUUUGUAAUCAAGAUAAAUGGGAAACCAGGGCUAUAUUCACCAAAGGUUUUGGUAAUUAACAGAUACUAGGUAAUGCUAGAGAUUCUCGGAAUGAGUAGAAUUGCAGAAUAUCCCUGAUGAUUAUACUAUCUGACUUAUCUCUCGACCUCACCAGACAAUUCAUUAUCUAAUUCUCACAAACUUAAAUAACUUAUCUAUUUCCAAUAGGAUGUUAUCUCAGGUAGAUUAAUCCAGUUACGACAUUAAUCAUUAAAUAGAAGGUUGGUAGCUUCCGAGUCCCUGUUGUUAAUUCACGUCCCCUAGUAUAUUUCUCCGUUAGAAGCAAAUAAAACCUAAGGCAUAACCUAAUGUUUGCAACCACUAUAUUUUAGUUAAAACAACAGAAUUUCAAGAUGUUUUACUACUCUUUGAAUCCGUUAAACACCUAGUAUCAUAUCAAACCCUAAUCCAUGGAUCCCAUAACUCCGGCAAAUGAAAUUAGCCGCUUAUGAUUUGAUGAAUGAAAUAACAAGUUGAAUUCAUGAUUAUAAUGAUAAACUUAAGAAUGGAUAGAUAACAACAAGUAGUUCCUCCGAUUUAAUCACAAGGUAGAAACCCCAAAAAUAGUUGAUACGAAAACACAAGAAUAAUUUAUGAAAGAGAGCAAAAAUACGUCUCUCUUCUUAGAGUUGAUGUCUGAUAGAUAACUAUUGAAUAUAAUCAAAAACCCUAAAAGAUGCUAUUUAUACUAAAGCCAAAUUAAGGAAAUAAAAUAACAAAAUUAAUAAAAUUGUUCGGAAUAGGUGACGCCCAGGCUACGCCGCGCCAAGAAGUUGAUGCCCUAUCACGGAUGACGUCAGAGAGGCUUCAGUUUCCUUCAGGUUCUGUCUUAGGAUGACGAUGUGGAUGACGCCGUGUCAGGGAUCUGACGGCGUAUCACCAAUGUCGUCAGAUAUCUUCUUCCCAUGCUAACUUUCUGCUUAAGGCUGACGUCAUUCUUGACGCCUUAUCAUGACUUUGACGCCACAUCACCGAUGUCGUCAGCACUGCUCCUCAAACUACAACUCCCUGGUUAAGGCUAACGCCAAUACUGAUAGGAUAUCACGAGGUUGACGACAUAUCACGGGGGUCGCCAGCCAUGUUUUCUUCUAUUUUGCUCAGACUUUCAACUCUUUUGCUCCAUUAUUGUUUAUUCUCAUUUCUCCAGCCUUUUUCUACAAUAUCAUGAGCAAACACAUCAAAACAACAAGAGGUUCUUCAGAAUUCACAAUUAUUUUAAGCUAAAAAGCAUUAAAUGUGUAAGCUUUUUCUCACAUAUCAACACCCUCAACUUAAAACAAUUGCUUGUCCUCAAGCAACAACUAACUAAGAGAAUACAACGAACAUUUAGCAGUCAAUAACCAAUUUAGCUCAAAACUCAGUUUACCAUCUCCAAGGUCAACCAACUCAAAAUUACUGUGCAAUUUAUUGAAAAGCAAUAAUGUAACACAAAGGCUUUUACCCGUGGCAUCAACUAAGUACCGACAAUCAUGCAUGUAUCAAUGUACACUACCCAAAUAAGUAAGUAACUUAGCAAGAUACUAGUGUGCCCUCACAAUCAAAAAAAUUCCCCUCUUUUUCUCAUGUCAGACAUCAAAAAUAUAAACAUGGGGCUCAUCACAAAAACACUCACUCUCAGAAUGAAGUUCAAACCAGUGUAUGCCAAAUACCAUAUGCUUUCCCUUAUCGUCAUUACCAAGGUUUCCAGAUAGGUACGCUAGGAUCACUAUAGGUCUUUCUUCAACUUGUAAUGUAAGCUAGGGCUGGUAUGAUAUUAUACGGCAUUUAGAGUGACUAACCUCCUUGGCACUACCUUACUUGUGGGGUCCACUUAUUAACCUCUUUUUCUCUCUUUUUCUUUUCUUUUCUUUUUCUCUUUUUCUCCUUUUUUUUCACUUUUUCUAUUUUCUUUAUCACACUUUCAGGAUGGGUGCACUUCAUUUUAUUCAAGCAGAGUUUCUUUUCUUGGUCUUUUUCACCAACACCCAACCUUUUAUUCUUUUUCCUUGAUCCUUUCUCUUCUACUCUACCCUUCUUCAUACCCAACUUAUAUCACGCACCCCUAUGAUAGCCACCCUCAACUUAGGCUGUUUACCUACGUUAAGGUGCACAGUGUCCAAGGAGGACCAGGGCCAAAACAGGUUCAUUAUGAUUUAAAAAGGGAAGGUGAUAGGUAUCAUAGAAAGAAAAAUGCUCAAUUAAGGCUCAAACUGGGAUCAAGGGAUAUCAUGCAUUAGAGGAAGGUCAUUUAGGCUAAUAGUGACUUAAAUUCAAAAAUGGCCUAUGAUCCUUUCCUAACCCCUAUCUUUCAACUAUGGGAAGAUGAACCGGGCAAGUUCUAGAUUUGACAAUACAAACAGAACUCGGUAUAGUCUCACACACACAUAGCACACAAUCAAUAUCACUAGCUACUACCUAUCUGGUUUAUGCAAUUGUUCAGCAGUGAUGGUCAGGUAACUAAACUAAUGCCAUGAAGAGAUGCACAGUGGUCACACUAAGGUGUAAUCCAUACAGUCAUGCAAAACAAACCUUCGGAGAGGUGUUCAAAAUCAUAAAAACAGUUAACUGCCUACAGAACUUGCACUACUCCUAGUUAUUUAUAGAAUAUGCUACAAAAACAUGCUACCCUAUACCCUCAACUUAAAAUCAAAACAAACUGAAACUAAGGAUUAGGGCAUACCUGGAGUCAAUCAAGUCUCAAAUCAUGGGUCCUCGACCCUGCAGCAGUGUUAUCCUCAUCAAGAGAUUCUCUUUGAUCCGGUUCAGUUGUUCUGCUAGAUGAGGCUCCUAUAGAUCUCACCCGUGGUGCUUCUUCCCAUUUCUAGUUAUCCUCUCGGGAUGCUUGUGUUGCCCUUUUCAGAUUCUCUUUCUCCUUUUCUGUCAACUCAUCAUCUGUCUGCAGUGUCUUCUCUUCCUUCUUCUUCUUAUUUACCUUUUUCUCAGCCUUGCUCUCAUUCUCAUCAUCUUCUUAUCUCUUUCUCUUACCUUUUUUAGCUUCUUUGUCUUUCUUCUUUUUCUUUUUCACUGGCUCCACAGUGAGAUCAAGGAUUGGAGGUUCAUCCUCAGAUUCCUCUGCUAUCUGCCCUGUAGGCAUCAUAAAUUGGUGUUGUUAUACUACCACCAUCUCAGCUUUUACCUUUUCUAGUGCCACUCUGAAUUCAGCAAGCUUUGCUCCAGUCAGCUUUUGUGCCCUUGCAUCAAAACGGUUCUCCAGAUUUGUAACCCGUGCAGGCAAAGUAGCAAAGGGAUCAAGAGAAGCCCUGAUUAUUUUAUCUACAAUAGCAGCAAAUUGCUCAGCAAAGGCACGUAGCUGUUUCUCACACCAUCUGGCCUGUUUGGCUUCUUUUUUAUAUUAAUAGGCUAGGAUACAGCUUUUGCUGGUGCUGUAAGAACUGAUGGACCUGGCUCAUCAUCAAGAACUAAGCCUGCCUGAGCAGCCUCAGAAGCUUGCACCUUAACUUCAGGUACUGAACUAGGUCCUGCAACUGAUGGGUUCACCUCAACCCUCACCCAUCUAUCAAGUAUCAACCUUGGUUGAUUUUUCUCAUAGCAAUUAGGGUUGUGGGUUUUGGUGGCAUACAAAGUCUCAUCAAUCCCAAUAAUAUAUGGUGCCCCUUCCUCUGUGCAUAGCCUGGUAAUCAUACAACGAAAUAGAUACGCUAUGUCAGACCUCGUUACCCGAAUCUUGAUCUCUUCAGCAAUAAUCUCCCUAAAAUUUAGCUUAAGGUUGGUCACAAAACAUGCAACUAAUAUUGCUCGAUCAUGACCCAGAAUAUUAUCUCCGUCGGUCGACAUCAAAUGGGUAUGCACAACACCCUACCAAAAUUUUGCCUUUUGAGUCAAAAAAGCCUUGUAAAUACGCUCACUAGGUUGGUUCAGCCAUAAAUGAUCUCUCUCAUCUAUAAGUGUAUCUAACCAAGGACGCUGGACAUCCUUACUCUUCAGACAAUGGUAGAAUGCAGGAUUUGUGACUUGCGGAUUGAAGUUAGGUCCAUGUAGAAACCAGUUGAUAGUUGUAUCAGAAAUAUCUACAUUUACCCCACGAACUGGAACUCUGGUCAGCAAAGGCUGGUCUGUUGUAGUCUCUCCACUCUUGCACAUGCUCUCUAAUCUAGCCUGGUAGUUCGCAUAGAACUCCCAAACUACUAUAAGGCAAAACGGUUUACCUCCCUUAGCAGUCCAUCCCAGCCCAUAAUCUCUGAAUUUCUUCUCAACUGCAGGAUACCCAGGCAAUCCUGUGAUGAUGACUCUCUUCUCUGGAAACACCGGCCUUCUGGUAGAUCUUCUUUUUGUUCUAAUCAACCCUUUGAGGAAGAUGUCUUCUGCUUCAGGGAUCUGUCAUCUAUCACUCUCUCGAACCUUCGGAUUCUUGCAUUUUAUCAAAUUUUCCUGAACUGGGGGUUCCUUCUCAGCUUGAUUUUCAGUCAUAGGAGUUUCAGAGAAUGUACUCAGGCUAUUCGUACUCAGUUUGCUUAGAACCUUCUUUCUCAGAAGAUUCACUCUCAGCUGGGGUGGUAGUCUCAGUAUCAUCACUAUCCUCCACCGUAAUGGGUUUAGGUGGAGGAGGUGCCUUUGGACUGGGUUUCUUUAUCCUUUACCUGAGCUGUGGUUCUUCAUCUUCAUAAUCAGAGUCUUCAUCAAUAAGCUUUUGAACCACUUUAGGCUUCGCAGCUUUCUUUGGAGGGUUAGGAUUCUUAAUUUUAGGUGCCAUUAGAAUGUUCCUGGACCAUAAGACAAACACACGUUAACGAUUAAGGUAUAACAGUCAAAACAUGCUAUUCAAGUUCACUUAGCAUUAUCAUCUAACUUUUGAUGACGUGGAUGAUAAGGCGUCACAUUUGUGAUAACCUAUCAGCUAUGUCAUCAGCCUUAAACAGUGAAUGUUCCCUUUUUCAAAGUUGUUGACGAUGUAGCUGAUAAGGCAUCACGUUUGUGAUAGCCUAUCAGUAAUGUCGUCAGCUCAAAAUAUUUCCCCCACUCAGUUUGCAUUCAUAAUUAUGGGACCAAAUUCUUUGUAUAAUCACAUGGUAUUUUUAUUUUUGUACUUAGGGUUUGCAAUUUAGGCACAACUUAACCCUAAUUUCCGAUUUCCAUGCUAUUACAACUUGAACUCAAGUUUAUUCCUUUAGAGCAUCAUGUUUUCAAACAAUUUACCACUUCAAUGAUAGGAGAACAAAGUUAUGAGCGUACCUGAUGAGUUGACUCCACUUGAUUACCCGAGAGAGAAGAAAAUAUGAGAGAUAGACUCUGAUUUUCCUUGCAAUCCCACAACUAUCAGGAAGGAGGUUUCCUUGUAUACUUGGGAGUGUUUUAAAAGAAAGUAAAUAUCCUACUAAGGAAAUAAAAUAAUACUUAAAGAAGGAAAUAAAAUAAAGCGGGAACUUGAAGGGUUUUACACCGGGUCCGGGUCGGAUUUGGAUCGAAUUGAGCCUAAAUUUUUCAAAAUAACACAAUGGCUGACGCCAACUCGUGAUAAGACAUCAUAAAUGUGAUAGCUUAUCACAAAAGUCCUUAGCCUUAAUAGAGAAGGUCUCACCCUCUGAUCUUUCUAACGACAUUAGUGAUAAGCUAUCACAAUUGUGAUAGCCUAUCACGAAUGUCGUCAAGACCACUUGACUUGUAUUCUUCAAUUUUUACCUCGACCUUUUUGUACCCCUUCAGCUCCUUCUUAUUACUACCUAAUUGAAUAAAACCAAAAUGCAUGAAAAUAAAAUUUUGGGUUUCCUCCUAAUAGCGCAUGAUUUAGUGUCACGGCACGACUUGGUUAUCUCGACUACUCAGACUUCAUCAAGAUAUCGUAUCACUACCUCAUUACCACAUUCUUGGAAUACAUCCACAACCGAGAAAAUGUUCAUCUCCUUAAACUGCUUCAUAGGAGGUUGCAUUUUAAAUCUGGCCUCCUUUUUCCCAUAUCUGAACUUAAGCUCAUUGAGCUCCAUAUCAACCAAUACUCUCCCCGAGGCUAAUAAUGGUCUACCCAAGAUGAUGGGUACCUCAAAAUCAACAUCACAAUCCAGUAUUACAAAGUUUGUAGGCAGAAUAAAAUCAUCCACCUUUACCCGCACAUCCUGUAAUAUACCAAUCGGUCGCUUAACCGAUCUAUCUUCCAUAACAAGAUACAUCGUUGUGGGGGUAGGCUCCCCUAAUCCAAGAUUCUUGUAGAUAUCAAGCGCCAUUAGAUUUAUACUUGCUCCUAAGUCACAUAAAGCUUUGGUAAACUUUAUGGACCCAACUGUGCACGGUAUGAUAAAUGCUCCAGGAUCAUCCUUUUUCUGCACUAAGGAUUGUGAAGACACAGCACCACAGUGAUGGAUGUUGUCCACAGGCUCACAACUUACCUUUUUCUUCUUUGUUAGCAAUUCCUUCAUAAAUUUAGUAUAGUUUGACAUUUGCUCAAGUGCCUCCAUCAAUGGCAUAUUCACGGUCAGUUGUUUCAUUAUUGCUACGAACUUGCUAAAUUUCUCAUUAUCUUCUUUCUUUUUCAACCUCUGAGGAAAUAGAGGUGGUGGUGUUGGAAUUUGUUUCAAUACCACUUCCUCUUUCUUGUCGUCUUCUUUCUCUGACAUGUCAACAAAGCCAUCCAGCUUCUCAGACUCUAGUAGAUUGCUUCCUUCCAAUUUAUCAAUACUUACCUCCUUCUCCAAAGCUUUGCCCAUAGAAGGGCCAGAUAAUAUCUCACCACUACGAGUGGUAAUAUCCAUACAAGAGCCAUCAAUCCGCGGGUUCUGAACCGUAUCACUAAGUAAAGUGCCAGCUUUUCUCUGAUUCAGAGUAUCUGAAAGUUGGCUCAUCUGCUGCUCCAACUACUUAAUAGAAGCUGAGUGUGAGCUAACCAAAUGACUGAGGGUAGAAAACUCACUUUUCAUAUUAGUUACCCCCGAGUUGGUUGCCUCCACUCCCUUUAACAGCUUUUCUAUCAUGUCCUCUAUUGACAUCUUGCCAGAACUAGUUAUUCCAGCAUCCCGACUUCCAGGAGGAAUAUACAAACCAUUUCUGUCAUUAUUGUUUCUCCAAUGUCCUUUCUUUAUAUCUUUAUAAUUAGGCUUGUCAUAGAAAGUCCAACCUUGGUUCCUUUGGCUAUUGACUCAAAAACCCCCUUAUUACUCACAUAGUUUGCCUCGACAUCAGCACCUGUAGAUACAGUACCCUGAGAGUCCACAACCUUAAGCAUUUCAGUCUUUCCAGAUAGCAAGUGCUUAACCAGCAAGUCCAUCUGCGUCUUCAAAUGGUCCAUGUCCUAAUCUCACUCAUCAUCCCUUCUAUGCUACUCUGCAGUAAUACCACCAGCAACAGUAGAGCUAGCCACUAUAGAAUCCCUAGUGUUCCAAGCCCGACUCUGCUUGGUCAUUCUAUUCAGCAUAUCAGAAGCAUCCAGAAAAGAGAGUUCAACGAACGAACCACCUACAGCGUUGUCGAUAAUUGGCUUUGUCAAAGAGUUGAAAGCUCUGUACAAAGUCUCCAUUAAGUGCAAGUCUGUCAUAUUAUGGCUCGGACAUUGUGAAAGCUUCUUCUUAAACCUUUCCCAAGUCUCAUCCAGUGCUUCAGUCGGAAGUUGUCUGAAGUUGCUAAUCUCAUCCCUCAAUUGUACACUUCUGGAGGGUGGAAAAAACUAUUCUAGGAACGCAUCUUUCAACUGUCUCCAGUUAGUUAUAGAGUCGGGAUCUAGCUCAUUCAACCACAUUGUUGCCUCUCCAGACAGAGACAAUAGAAAUAACCUCAACCUGAUCGCAUUCUGUCUCACUCUCGGAUUGUCAAAGGAUUUGCAGAUGGUAAUGAAGCUCACCAAAUGCAUGUUCGGAUCAUCACCAAGCAAGCCUCCAAAUAACCCUUUCAGAUUUAGGAGUUAGAUCAUGGUACUUGUUGUGAUGAACUUUGCACCUGGUGCCAACGGUGGGGGAAUGAUAGCACCCAUUGCACCAGCUCCGUCCAUUCCUUCAUCAUCUUCAUCAGUCUCAUAUUGCAUAGGUGUAAUACCCCUAAAAAUCCAAACCAAUAUUAGAGCCAUGUACCAAGCUCAUGAAUAGUCCAUCAUGAUUUUUUAUAGUUUUAUGAGUAGGUUAGAUGUAUAUAAGGCUUCAAAUAACUCUCAGCUAUCAGACGAAUCCAAACAUUCCUUACCGAUUGAAUUCUUGAGAAGGAUAUUGGUAUAGUUAACUUCAAACUAGCAUAUAUCUCAUUAUACUUGGAAUUUUUGAGCUCAUAACCUAUCAGAAGAUAGAUAAUUGAAUUAUCUUUCCAACGAUACCAAUUUUGCCUAAAUUCGAUAUCGGAGCAAGGAUUAUUCCUAUUUUACUCCAGCAUGUCAGGCUGGAAACAGUGUGACGACAUAUGUGACAGCUUACCACAUUUGUGAUGCCCUAUCACGAAGGUCGUCAGCCUUAGGCAGAAACCAGCUCCUAAGUGAUGACAUUCGUGAUAGCUUACCAUAUUUGUGAUGCCCUAUCACGAAGGUCGUCAGCCUUAGGCAGAAACCAGCUCCUAAGUGACGAUAUUUGUGACAGCUUACCACAUUUGUGAUGCCCUAUCACGAAGGUCGUCAGCCUUAGGCAGAAACCAGCUCCUAAGUGACGACAUUCGUGAUAGCUUACCACAUUUGUGAUGCCCCAUCAUAAAGGUCAUCAGCCUUAGGCAGAAACCAGCUCCUAAGUGACGAUAUUCGUGACAGCUUAUCACAUUUAUGACGCCCUAUCACAAAAGUCGUCAGCUAUGAUUUUUCAGCAACUGGGAAUUUAUUUCAUAAGGGUAUUUUGGUCAUUUCCUUCACCUUCCAUGACUUAUAACCCUAAAGAGGCAUAAUUUUUCCCAUUUUUUUCUUCAGUUAAACAUCUCAAAAACCCUCUCUUACGCUCUCAACCAUAAGAUUAGGGUUUUCAUCAAACCCAUCUCUCAAAAGUAAGAUUCAAGCCUUUUUCCAAGAUAAUUGAGAAUUAAGUUUCCCAAUCCAAGAACUCUCCAGCAAAUCAUUAAGGUUUCCUUUCUAAGGUAUGGAUAGUGUUCAUCUAUGGAUCCAAUCCAUUAAUAGAGCUCAAGAACCAUGUUUUAAAUAUUAUUUUGUAAACUUUUUUUGGUGAUAUGAGUAUGUACAUGUUCAAGAUUGUUGUUUAAGUUUCAAUGUGAUGUCUAAAGGUGUUUUCAUGGAAUAUAUAUGUUUGUUAAUUGAAAACCAUGAACUUUAGGUGGUUUAAUAUGGUGCAAGUAUGAAACUCACCUAUGCCUUAAAGAAUACAUGUAAGGUGUUUGAUAAAAUGCUUAGGAUGCUAGAAAUUGAUGUUUGUAUGGUUAUAUGAUGUCUAAAUGAAAAGUCCAUGUUAUCUAUAUACUUCAAUAUGAAUCCCAUGCUUUUCAUGUGUUGCUAUUGUGGUGGUAUGAAGCAUGUAAGAUAAUGGAGAUAUACAAUAGGUACACGAAAUAUAUCCAUGCAUUCCCUAAAAUGUUUAAGAUGCUGGAUAACUAUAUGAAAGAUGAUAUCCCCUACUUAUGAUAUUAUGAAUUAUGGACUCAAAUCUUGUGAUCAAGCCAUGUCAUGUGUGUCAGUUUCCUUCGAUCGAGUCCUGGGGGUAUUCGUACCCGAAAAAAUAGUUGUGUGCCUAGAUCCAUGUCAUGUUGUCACGAAAUAUCAGUCAAGCUAUAAUCUAUAGAACUCAGUCAGUCAUGUGACUCAGGAAAACCUUAGAAAUCUCAUGAUCUCAGUUAAUUCUCAGAUAAUAGUACUACUCCAUCAAUCAACGGAAGUCAGCUAAUCUAUCCAUGUACAGUCAGUUGAAUCAUGUUUAGUCUCUUUAGAUGGGACCGAGUAAACCCAAGGAUGGGGACUCACCUACCUGUGUAGGGUGUGAUUCUUAGCAGUCAUCCUUGUAUUCCAGAACUACGUAGCCAGCGUAGGUUGAGACAUCUUAGCCUAUCAGAUUAGAGGUGAUGAGGUGGCUUAACCUAUUAGUUUAGGGUUCCCACCAUUCUCCUUUCGAAUACCUGCCAGCUAAGGGUCACCCAUAACUAUCCUUACUAGUGGCGCGGUAUUGACACCCCUCCAGUCGGGGUAGAGAUUGGACCCCAACUUAGCUAUAUGCGUUAUUGAGGGAUGUCAAUUAAAUAACUACUCCUCACAGUUUCAGAAUUAGUCUCAGUAUAAGAACUCAGAUAGGUUUUCAGAUUUCAGUAUAUCAGGAUUGUCAGAUACAGUUACCUAUUUUAUCAGAAUUGCAGUAUCAGUCAUGUUAGCCAUCAGUAAACCAUGUAUUAGCAUACAAGACUAGCUAUUAUGCACCCACGGUUUCAGUUACUAUGUAUGCAUAUUUGUAAUCUUACGUUCAUGUCAGUCAAACAGUUAGCAUUGUUCAUGCAUGUAAACCCUGUUUAUAUUUAGCCUACCUCACUUGUAUACUCAGUACAUUCCCUCAUACUGAUGCAUUUACGCUAUGGUGCUUUAUUUUCAUGUUACACCAUAGGUUCAGAGACACAAGCUCCAAAUCAGCAGUAGCAGUAGCAUUUCAGUGAGUCCUCUUCAUUCGAGGAAAAUAUGAUUUGAUUUAUUCAUUAUUAUUUUAGCUAGUUAUCAGUUUACGGAGUUAGUUGGAGACAUGUUCCUUCGACUUCUUAUUUAGACAACACUUAGAGGAUUUCAGAUUCAGUAUUCAGACUUAUGUUCAGAUUUGAUUUAGUUUUUAGUUGUUUUGGAUAUCUUUCACUCAGAUGGAUGUUAUGUUUUGACAGAUUCUUUAUUCAGUUGAACCUUAUGGCCUAUAUGUUUAUGUUUUCC